UCGAACGCUUCUUUUCUACCGAGUGCUUGCACUCACUUUGAAAGAGGAGUGGCGGUACGGGUGAGUAACACGUGGGUAACCUGCCCAUCAGAAGGGGAUAACGACUUGGAAACAGGUGCUAAUACCGUAUAACAGUCGACACCGCAUGGUGUUGAUUUGAAAGACGCUUUCGGGUGUCACUGAUGGAUGGACCCGCGGUGCAUUAGCUAGUUGGUGAGGUAACGGCUCACCAAGGCGAUGAUGCAUAGCCGACCUGAGAGGGUGAUCGGCCACACUGGGACUGAGACACGGCCCAGACUCCUACGGGAGGCAGCAGUAGGGAAUCUUCGGCAAUGGACGAAAGUCUGACCGAGCAACGCCGCGUGAGUGAAGAAGGUUUUCGGAUCGUAAAACUCUGUUGUUAGAGAAGAACAAGUAGGAGAGUAACUGCUCUUACCUUGACGGUAUCUAACCAGAAAGCCACGGCUAACUACGUGCCAGCAGCCGCGGUAAUACGUAGGUGGCAAGCGUUGUCCGGAUUUAUUGGGCGUAAAGCGAGCGCAGGCGGUUUCUUAAGUCUGAUGUGAAAGCC
rnacentral:rRNA from 1 species